AGCCGAGCCGAGGGGGGUUCCCCCUCCCGGCACCGCCCUGCCUUCUCCUCUCGGAGAAUCCCCCGAAAGCGGCGGCACGGUCGCUCCGCCGCCUCGGCAGGGGGCAGCCCCCCGGCUCCGCCGCCGCCCCCGGGCCGAGCGAGGGGCCGAGGGGCCGCCCUGGGGUCGGGGCUGCCGGGCGGGACCGGCCCCCUGACCCGCACGAGGCCGUGGAGCGGAGCGCGGCGCUGCCAGCGGGGGGCGGCGGGCGACGGGCGGCGGGCGGCAGCGCCCUGCGGAGCCUGCUGAGCGAGCGGCCGUACCCGCCGAGGCAGCCCCGCGCCCGGCCGCCCCGCACCACCCGCCGACCCGCGGCUGCGGCCCCGACUGCGCCGCCCUGCGCCCGGCUCCCCGCCACCGAGCCCGGGGAGCCGAGAGGCGUGCGGCGGGGCCGUCGGCCGAGCCCCACAGCGCAGCGGGAGCGGCCGCGGGGCCGGGCGGGGGGCGCCGAGCAGAGGCCGAGGAGCUGCGGAGCGCGAGGGUCCGGCGGUAGCGGCCGGAUGGCGCCGGGAGUCCGAUGGCACGGGGAGGCGGAGCGGGUCGCGGUCUCGGGGACAAACGAGGGGGCGAGAGGAGCGCGGCCGCGCCGCUGCCUCCACCCGGGAGCCGGCGCUGGGGAGGCGGAACCGGGGAGCGGAAUCCCCGCAUCGCCUCCCGCGGACUCGGUGCCGGCCGAGCCGGGACGUCCCGAAGCGCUCCCGGGAGGGGCAGCCCCGGCACCGUCGCCCCGCGCUCGGGAACCGCUGGCCGUGCCCCGGGGCGACAGCCUCUGCCAAAGCCGUAGGGUCUGUGUGCGGAAAGUGCCACGUGUGAGUGUGUCGGUGAGUUCUGCCGUUUAUGAGUGCUAGCGUGAACGUACAUUUUAAUUAAUACCUAAUUUGCUGCAUUUAUUUUAAUAAUUUGAGUAUCUUGAAGUAUUUGCACUGUUUUGCCAAAUGCUUGCAGUAGGCGCUUCAUAGCAAACACAAUAAUUAUUUGUAACUAAUUUAGCAUUUUCUCUGUACUUUGCAACUGGAUUUGAACUCUUUCUUGAUGAACAAGACAAGAAAUUGCACUUACCCUAACAGCACAAAAUUUUACGUGUCCUUCUUUAAAAAUGGUGUGAAAAUGUACACAAGAGCUUUAAUUCACCUUGUUCACCAAAGCAGCGGGUAGGUAACGUCUCAAUUUAUAGCUAAAUGUAGCUUCAACAACACAAUUUCUCUGAAAAAAAAAAAAAAAAAAAAAAAAAAAAAAGAAGAAGAAGAAGAAAGAAGUAUCUAAGAGAGAGGAGAGCUCUAACAGCAGCCUGUAAAAAUCCCCAGUCAUUCGGUGAACUGUAUCCAUUUUUACUUGUUAACUCAUACAUUCAAUGAGAUUCCUUGAAUAUGGACCUGGAGUGAACAAUUGCAUGGCCAUUAACCAUGCCAAACUGCUACAGAACAGACGUAAUUCCUUUUCUUCUAGGUUAUAUUUCCCUGUUGUAUUUCAGUUGCCUGAGUUUGAGCCAUGGUAUUUUGCCACACUGGGUGCUAUAUUCUAUGAAUGCAGCGAAUUGGCUGUCGCUUCAUUUUUUUGGUGCCAUAUAUAUAGGGAGCAGAGGUGCCUCAUUUUGCACGAACAGAACAUUACCCACAACCAGGAGUUGGUGUCCCAGCUGCAGUGCAGAGCAGUGCUCAGUGCCCACAAGCCGCUUCCACUUCUUUACCAACGUUUCUGAUUUUCUUCAAUACUGUGUGAAAUAAACAUAUGGGAACAACAGCAAAAGGUCAAAAUAUGAGAGCAGUGUGCAGCUACGUUUGGUGCACAUCGUGAUGGUGGCAUACAGAUUAAUAGUGGUUGUCAGUCCUUUUAAUACCUGUUUCACUUGGCUGUCAUUACAAUGAUUUCUAAACCAGUCAAGUCCAUGAAGGCGUAUUCUACCAGACAACAGUUUUGCACUUAUAAAGAGUCAAGAGAUAUCUGGACACGUGACCCCUCUCCUAGUAAUACGUUCAAAUAAAAAUUGUUAGUUGAAUAUAUGCUUUCCUGAAAGAAGUUUGAUUAUUACAGGGAGACAUACUGGCCUACAUGGUGGUUUGUCCUGAGCCAGAGCGCUCAGCCACAGGAGCGGCAGCUGUUCCCAGAAGGGAAGCAGGCAGUGUGCCGGGGUGGGUGGGUGCCUCACAGUGCUACUUGAGGAUGAGCUGCCAUGGAUCCAACAGUUCUGUUUGAACUAUGUUUGAAAUACAUAGCCAAAAGUUGAAGAUAGUGAAUGCUGUUAUUGCAGUUAAAAGUAACUUAAAAAAAAAAAAAUAGCUCAAGGCAUUGAUGGCUCACGUAACCGAUUUGGGAGGCAAACUGCUACCUCUAAAAAGGACAAACACCCUCAACAAAACAAAAGAGGUUUCUCACUUUUAUGAGGAGGCAAAGGCAGGGUAGGAUUAACUAUGUCCAUGUAGCAUCACUUUACUAAGGACGAAAAUAUUUCCUCAUAUUGAAAGGUAUUGCCGCUACCCUUGAUUCAGAUCAAGGUCUAAAUCCUGCAAUUGCUUGUUACUCUAAGCACAUGAGGAGGCCCCACAGGAACUAUUCACAUGUGAAAAGAGCUAGGACCAGAGCCAAAGUUUUGCAUACUGUGAAGGUCAAGCUUGCUUCCUUUGUAAGACUUGUACUUCAGAGAAAAACUCUCAGAAAUAUGGUUUCCAUACAGAAACUUCAGCUGAUUCUUCUUCUUCAGUUGUUGGGGAGGAUGCUGUAUGUGCGGUGGCUGAUUUACAGCGUUUUGUGUAAUUCUGGCCCCUGUGACUACGGUGCUGGCUGGCUCCAGGCACUGCCUUGCAGCUCUGGGAGCUGUCCCUGCCUUUCCCGGAUUGCUGUUUCUAUGUUUUCUCUUCACACUGACUUUUUGUAAACUUCUCAGAACAAAAGGAGAAAAGCCUCAUAGAUAUUAUACAACUGUUGGCUUUAGAGCUGUUAUAGAAUAACCUCGUAAUAAAAAUGCACUGGCCAUGCAAUGAAUUCUCAGCAUUUUUCCAAAGGUCAUACAAAAUAUAUUGCUUGAGCGGCCGUACUUUGGCCACUCAGAUAAGUCAUGGGGAGACCACAGCAGAUGACAGUCUCCAGGAAAUACUGUAAUUCACUUUUAUGUCUCUAUGAAGGAAAAUAAGAGACAAAGCCUUCCCCUGACUACUGGGGAGGGGGUAUAUGUGGAGACUGGCAUAGAGAACAAAAGGGAGCUACUUUUGCAAGUGUGACAGAUAAGGUUGGAGGUCUUUCUGCUGAAGGCCUUGCGUAGCUUUGCUUUGUUUCUUUUUGUUUCUCUUCAGAGCAACAGAAGAACGCAGAAAACAAAUUGUAGCUGCACUUUACUACAUCUUUUAACAGGAUUUUGCCUCAAUCCCAAGUUAUUUUCUGAGCACAUAUUUGAAAAUUAGUUUCCAUUUUCUCCAUUUUCCAUCAUCCUCAUUUACUGGAAAUGUAAAAUAAAUCUCACUUGGGAUCCCUGAGCAUGAGAACCGCUUUUACUUCUGCUUUUUGAUAUUACAUAUUCCCUAGUUUUACCUUUUGUAGGGGCAAUCCUUACCUGGGUUGCACAAUACUUCGUAAAUGACAGUUGAUACUCUAUCUGGACUUAACAUUGAAUACAGUUGUUCUUUUAGAGUUCCCUCCUUUGCAGUGAACUAUAAUUUAUAAUAGCCGAGCAACUUUUCUAAAAUAUUCGUAGAAAAACUAUUUUUGCUAAGAAACUUACAAAUCACUUUUUUUUUUCCCCACUCAGAUUCAUAAAUGCCUAAAAUGCAAGCUAGUUGAAAACCUAACUUCAGAGGAGCUGGAGCAGAACAGCUAUGAAACAUUCUGCUGCAAUCGUGUCUUUACACCACUGAAAAUAUUGCUAUCCAGUAUCAAAUGAAUACAGUAUAAAUUAGAAAUAUCAGACAUAUACAGCUACAGCCACAAAUCUAGAUGAACGACUGCCAAAUGGCAACAGGUACAUAUUCCUGUCAUUCCAAGAGCUGGAGACACCACACAUCUAAAGCCAAUAUGUAGGCAGUUCAGACUGUAUGGCUUUAGUAGGGUUGUGCUUUCAUGAAACAUACCUCGCUGAGUGACAGCCAGGCACCAGAGGUGGUUACUGUCUUGCAGGAUUGUUGCCAAAACGAUUACAAUAUGAAACUUAAGAAGUCCAAUCCCUAACAGCAGGAGGUAGAACAUACAAACUUCAUCAUCCCAGUUGUCGAGUGACAGUGUUUUAUAAAUGUCAUGAAUAAUGUAUAAAACAACUUAUUUUUUUGUACUGAACAUUUUGAGAGUUCAUGCACUCACACCGGAAGGGCAUGCUUUGGAAUGGGAAUGCGAGACGAGAGGCUAGAAAGAUUCAAAGCUGAACACAGUGCACACAAAGGAAUUUGUGAACCCAGCUCCCUGCUUAAUUACUCAAGAGCUGGUCAGGAGCCAUGCCAGCAACAGUACCACUGCUAUUUUAGCUGACUUAAAUGAGAUAAAAAUCAGACUGAGUCUCUAGCUUAGGAAUUCCUGCAUACCUUUCGUACAAUACAUAUUUGUCAUGUCUUUGAGAAUAAUAAAUUAUUUUAUUAAUAAAAAAAUGCUCAAAGCAUUCAUUUAAAUUAAUUUUAUAAACUUAACAAGUGUUACUCUGUGUUCUCUGCAUUUUUAAGAGUGUUUGGGGAUUUAUGUCUUGUAAAAUAGAAACAAACUAGGAAAACUGAAAUAUAUUGUGUCUUUUGCUGUACUUUACAGCACAGCUUGUGUUUAAGAAGCAGUCUAGACAUGUAAAAAUGCUAGAAUAAACAAUAUUUUUUUUCAUUAUUUUAAAUUAGCUUGUACUGGAAAGCUAUAAAUUUCAGAAUGAUGCACACUAGAAGGAUUACAUACCUUUCCAAAUAUUCAAAACAAAAGAUACUAAGAGGCGAUUAUAUUACCUGCUGUUAUAAAUACAAAAUCCCUUCAGAGUUAAUGCAAUUACCAGUGAUUUCCUAUAAAAGAAAAAGAAAUAAUAACUUUAUUUCCAAAUAACUUCAGGAUAUUUAAUUUCGGAUUAUGAAAAGUCACACUCUGGGUGUUUCUCUUUUUUUUCCCAUAUUGUAGUCUGUUGUUUAAUCAUUUCAACCUACAAACAAAAUUAAAUAUUAUUUAAUACUCAUUACAGGUCUUCAAAUAUCAGUUGGUCUUAAAUAUUUUCUCUCUCUCUUUUUUUUUUCUUUCUAGUUUCAGCUGAGUUUUGCAUGCAGUUGAAGAACAAUAUUUGUCAUGAAGAUUUCAUCUAAGUCUUCCUUGAAGCAGAAUGAAUUCCAGACUCGAGACCUCAUCUAAAUCAAACUGGAAUCUGUAUUAAGCUCAGAGUACAUUUUCAUUGUGUUUAUGUUCUACUUAUUUUUUUUUUUUAUUUUUAUUUUGCUGGCUGAAAUUAGCAUGUAUGGAACACCAAGUGUAGGGGACUGAGCUGUAUUCUUCUCUCCAGGAUAGUAAAGACAACGUUUUUGCUUCACAGAAAGAAAGGAAACAAACAACAAAAACAUAGAAAGAUGGUAAUACUUAUUCACUCCCACAUACCCUGAAGAAUCAAGACAGUAAUGAGAAGACACUGUAUUUAACCACUGUACUGACAGAAGAAUCAGUGAGUUUCAUAGCAGAAUAUUUAGUCUGAGAUAUUCUUACUCAAAGACAGCCCUUCAAAUGUUCACAUAACUGUCCACUUGUGCUCUGAGGGGAAAGAGAAAGUAAAUCAAGAACGCCUUCCUUAGAAAAACUGAAGAUUAAAUCUCAGUCUCAGUUGAGUUCCUACAUCUUCCACUGCUUUACACUCUAUGGGCUGCAAGUCUGUUCUGAGGCACAGGUACCCCAAAUGUACAUUUUACAUAAAUUAAAGAACCACUGUGGAAAUUACAUGAAGUGCUGGAGAAUAUAAUCCUUUCUGAGUUGUCUGACACACUCCAGAAACAGAUCUCUGCGGGAAACACUGAUUAUAUAUACCAGGUUUAAAAGCAGAACUAACAGUUAAAAGCUUGUUGAACAACGCAAUGAUACUGUAUUUCUUAACUUGGAAAGGUGUUCAUCCAUCCUGCUCAGCCAGGAUGUUCAUCCGGCCCGUUUACCAUUUAUGAGACAUUGUGUUAGCAUUGAAUUAGCUUAUAGAUUGUUUUAAUAUGACUUGAAGCAGUAGGGUGUAUAAUUGUUUGAAUGUUCCUUUCCACUGACUGCACAGCAUUACUUCUUUCUGCACCUGAGAAAGCUUUUUCCUCCACCUGAACACUUAACGAGCAAAUUUCCAGACAUUCAGAAGCAAAUGCAAACAAUUUAGAACAGACCUUGUUCCUGCGAUUAAGGCCAAAAAAGAAACUACUCAAAGGAGCCCAUACAGCUAUGUUUUGUAACAUUUUCUCUUUUCUGUGGCACUUGUUAUUAUUUUCUUCAGCAAGGCACUGUGGCACAAGACACCCUUCCUUAUCCUGUUCUCUGGAGAGAAAAGUAGUUCUGCAGUCUCUGUACUGCAAGUUCUGUGUGAAUACAAAAUGUAUGAAGACUCAGUGAAAUGAGCAAUUUCGGUUCCAUUUAAUAUUCUUUAGGCUGCUGUUAUUUUCUGCAACAUUUUUUUAAGUUCUGUGUCAUGUUGUUGAAAUUGUGAGUUAAAUUUGCCACUAAUUAACAAGAGGACUUUACCAAUGAAACCCUGCUUUGGAAAUCCCUAUGACUGUGCUUUAAAUUGCUUGCAUACAUGCACUCUAUAGUGUAUUUGCAUCAAUGACAGCAUGUGAUAAAUAGCAUUAUGUGAGUUAAUUAAUGACUGCAUAGCAUAUUCAGAUCAUAAGCAGUCAAAAGCAUUACAAUGAUGUUUUUUACAUCUGCUAAAAUUUUUAUAAGCCAGAAAUAAAAGACUGAGUAAAGGUGGCCAUGUGGGUUGGCAAUUAAUUGGAAAAUCACCAAAGAUUACAUAGUGAGUGAAGCACUUACUGAAAAAAAACAAAAAUGAGAAAAUGCAGCCAUUUGGGAUAUCUGUUAUUAAACCUUCAAACAAAUGUAACCAUGUCCUUUAAAAAAAAUACAAUUUUGUAUACUGCAUUAGUUUGCAAUGAAUAUGACAUGUAGUGCAUGAGAAAGUACUCCUUGGUCAGUACAGGACAUAGCAAAAUGCCUAGCACAUUAAAGCUUGUGUGUGAAAUGUGUAUGGAUACCAAGUUGACCAGUGAGAUGACAAAAUAUUUAUGUUAUUCUAAAUAUAAAAUGUCAUACACUUGUAUCUACAUUCUCUUCCUUGGACAAUCUAGUUACUUGUAUUCUCUUCAUUAUACAGUGAAGUAAUUUACUAAGUCAUGAGUCUGUGUCAAUUAUAUUUAGAUUUAACAGAAGUUCUAGAAACUGGACAGAUAAAUGACAUUACAAGACCAGGUGAAGUAAUUAUCAAUCAUGGUAAUUACAGGUGUUUUAUUAUGUUUAAGUUUAUGACCUAGUAAGGCUUGCAACAGUCCUGGAAGAGAAAUAAUAUGAUAGAUGUCUUACAUAUGGGUAGAUAAAAAAAGUUUGAAGUAAGCUGAUCAGGGUCUCUGUAUCUGAUCCUUACAUUUAGGUCAUACUUCCAGCUAUGACAUCACAUAUGAUAAAAGUAUUCAAGCUAAGCAAAUCCUAUUAUUUAUUAAAGAGUCUCUCAGUAUAACCUUCUCUUUCCAAAGUUAGGAGGAAAAAUUGUAUCAGAUUCAUAAUAACUUCAGAUUAACUUCAAAAUAACUUUAAGCUCAAGGAGGGAAGGUUUAGUUUAGAUGUCAGGGGUAAGUUCUUCACAGAGAGAGUGAUGUGGUGCUGGAACAGGCUGCCCAGAGAGGCUGUGGAUGUCCCAUCCCUAGAGUUGUUCAAGACCAGGUUGGAUGGGGCCCUGGGCAACCGGGAGGUUGGUGGCUCUGUGUGUGGCAGGGGGGUUGGAACUUGAUGAUCACUGGGGUCCCUUCCAACCCAAACCAUUCAAUAAUUCUAUGAUUCUAUGAUUCAGGUAGAUGUCCAUCACUGCUGAGUUCUAUGAUCACUGACAAUACAGGUUUGCAGCAGUGACAAAUGUCAGAAGUGUCAUAAGAAUUGCCACAUUUUGGCCAGAUUGUAAACUUUGUAACAAAGCAGACUUUUGGGGGGAUUGAGGCACUGGAGAGGGAAUGGAGUUAUGCAUUAAAGUUGGCAACUGGCCAACUGUAAGCUUUAUUUUGUGCUAUUUGCUAAGCAAUAAGGAUACGUUACACAUGAGCAACUAAUUACCUAUUACUGUCCACUUAGUAACGCUGUAGUACACAGUUCUCAAAUAAUACUGAUACCUCAUUUUGGUAGGAUUGUCAUGAAAGAGAGAUCUUGUCCUCUUGUAAGAAUUUGCAAGGGAAACAGACCAGGAACAGGAUGGGAAAGAGGCUUAGAGUGACGUUUGAAUCAGACAGGAGAGAAAGAGAGAGAGCAAGAACUGAUAACACAAUUCAUGCCUCUAGGCUUCAACUAGUACCUCAAAUACUGUGUUACUUAUCCAAGACAUUACUGUGAGCUUUGUUACUGUAAACACACCAUAUAGUUACAACUGUUUAUAAGUGCAUGACAGCAUUGGGGAUCCAUUUCCUCUAAUACUUAACACUGAAAAAAAGCCUAGGAGAGGUUUCAGAAACAUAUCAUUGACACAAGGGAACAGAUAUCAAAAAAAGGCUUGGAAAUGAUUUAUUGAAAAAUAUAGUUCUUGCCAACGGAUCUAGACAGCUGAAUUGUAGAAGCAGCUAUGCUUUUAUUAAAAUAACAUAAAAUAAGAGGUAUACGUGGUUCUGGAGUCCCUCAAAGGUCCCUUCAUCUUCAUCAGCCUCCCUUCUCAUGGAAGGAGCACUGAGAUCUCCAAAUCACACAAACCAGCCACAUCUUCUCCUCCCCCCAGUCUAAUACAGGUCUGCUUAUUGCUAACACACCACUAUCUCUGUUAAAAAAAAUCUGCUCAAACUCCAUUACAGAGAGGGAUCUUAAAAGAUAAUAGCAACGAGGAGUUUGUUUGUAUCGGUUGUUACCACAGAGUGUUUGUUGAGGCAGGACAGGCUACAAAUGCCUGACAUAAACACACACGAAUGGAUUUCUCAGAGGUUGGCCUAGAUCAGCUAAAGAUAAACCACUAAUUGUAUUAAACUUUUUUUUUUUUUUUGACAUGUACCCUAAAAAAAUUCCAUAAAUAUGGACAUUGCUUGAAUUCUUCAUGACUAAUAAUAUUAAAGAAUGAGAAACAGACAGUAUUUCACAACAAAAUAUGAUUUCCAUUAUGAUUGGUGGUAGAUUUUUU
rnacentral:lncRNA from 1 species